rnacentral:rRNA from 1 species
GUCUACAGCCAUGUUACCCUGAACAAGCCCAAUUCUGUCUGAUCUUAAAAGCUAAGCAGGAUUGGGCCUGGUUAGUACUUGAAUGGGAGACCAUCUAGGAAGACCAGGUGCUAUAGGUG